rnacentral:tRNA from 1 species
GGCGACGUACCCAAGUGGCUAAGGUGGCGGUCUGCAAAACCGCUAUUCCUGGGUUCGAAUCCCAGCGUCGCCUCAA